AGCUCCCCGGGAGCCGCAGCGCAGCCGCCGGCUCUGCGGAUCCCCAGAAAACCAACGGAGCUCCGGCCUUUGUCAGAGCUGCUUUGACAAUACACGUAGUUAGGGCUCCGUCCUGCGUUCCUGUGGCAAAGCCCUCUGAAGACAAAGGCGAUUUACAGUGCGACUUCCCAGUUUUGUCAUUUAAAAGGACUUUUUGUUAGUGAAGGUGACUGUAACAACAGAAAAGCCUUGAGAAUGCAGAAUUAUUUUCGCUAAUGAUGAACCAAGAUCUUGCUGUGCACACGGCUAGGUAAAAUAGACACUGAGAAUGCUUGACAAAAGCAGGUAUUUUUAGUUUUGAGGCUUUGCAAAGCUACAUAAGAGAUGCGUUAGCAUUAAAUCAUUUAACAAUUCAGCUGUUGACGGCAGAGUGGCAAAAGCAGCAAGCUCUGAUCUACUGUCCUUUCAAGCACAUUCAAAGGAGGCACAAGGAAGGGAGAGGUUUUGCUUUCCCUUUGAACUACCGCAAAUAUUCCUUUAAAUCUCAGAAAACGGCAUCUGAGCUGAGCGUGCUCAAAGCGCAGUGAUUUAAUCGCUGAAAUAUUUGACCGUAUCCCUUGCUGUGCAUUUCCAACUGGAAGAAGGAGAGAAGUAGCAGGGAGGCUGGUGAAUAAUUCAAGGAGACACAGAUCCUGCGUAAGCCAAAGUUCUGCGUGAGCCGGGAACACGAUUAUAGAGCAGUUUCAGUUUGUGCUGCAGAUGGCUCCUUAAUCUGGUUGCGUAACCGGGUAUUAGAGAUGAGGGUAGGUCCCACUGCCGCGACUGAAGGAAGGAUACAGUAACUGAAGCUGCACUGAGCGUAAAGCCACUGCAGCUAUCCACGAGGCACGUUUUAGUGAUUAGUGAGGGAGAGUUGGAAAAAAUACUGAACGCUGCUUUGUUAUCAGCCAAACUGAAGACUGUAUAAUACCUAGGUUUAAUUCCACGCUCUGCUGCUGAACAAUCUCAGGCAGCAAAGGUUUAACUCACUUUUUUAGUUUAUUGUGGUUUCAAACUUUCAAAACCUGUAAUAAUAUUAAGAUAAAAAUGAACAAAAACCCCAAUAACAAUCAUAGCAGAUGUUAAAAUCCGGGAAAAGUGGGACAAGGGUGAGUUCCAGGAAUUCUUCAGUGGAAAUCUGGGUCAUGAAUAGCAAUUUCUAGACUCUUGGACUAUGUCUUUUGAGGUCCUUUUGGUUUUUGUUUGUUUUUUUUUCAGAUGGAUUUGACCUCACUGUGAGCAUAAAAUAUGUCUAUCUGGGUCUGGCUGCUGUUGUUUGGUUUGAUGGAAAGAUCACUUGUGCAUUUUAAAUGUUUCUGAUCCUCUUUGUACAGUUUGGGAGCAGUUAAAAGCCUGAUUAUGUUACCCAGCCGUGCUUGCCAAGAUGCUAAUUUAUAAGCGUAAUUUCAAGUAAAGUAGUAUCAUAGUUUCAUGAUUAGGUCAUGAUAAGAGAGUCGUGGGACUUAGAAAGAUGGUUCUGUUUCUCCUGUAAGCUGCUCCUUUUCACACCUGUGCCUCUUUGUGCCCAUAAAAACAUUGCUGUGGCUGCACAGCAAACUCUAUUGGGUUACAACUAGGCUAGCAACAAGAAAAAUAGUUUAGAUUUAAUCCUGCUCUGCUUUCCUGCUCAGUUGCAGGGUGCCCCAGCACACAGGAUGGUGCAGUGGAAGGGCAGGAUUGUGACUGGAGAUGAUCACCUCAUUUGCCCAUGACACACAGCCUUGUCAACCCCCACUACUGUCAUUCCCAGAAGACUUUAGAGCUGCAGUGACAUAGGAAACAGAUUCUGCUGUCAGGUUCAGCCUCGUUUUAAGUUUCUAGCCCACACAACCACAGAAGGAAACAGUUCCUUAGACUGGACAGAGGUAUGAACAAAACAUUCUGGUUUGUCCAUAUCUGUAAGUCACCAUGGGUUGACAGGACUUCAUUCUGGCAGCAGCAAGCACCAGCAGCGACUGUCAAACACGACUGAUCAGAAGCUGGACUGUGACUACAACCUCUGUGGAUCUCCUCACUGGAUGUCACACCUCCAGGGCAAGAUGGAGU